UUUGGCUGUGUGAGUGUGGAGGCCAGUGUUCUGCAAGCCCUGGGCCUGCCUGCAUCUCCUUCGUGCCUCGUGGAAGCUAAUGUUGCCAGUGAAGUGUGCACACCUCCCCUUCUCCCUCAGCUAUGGGACUGCUCAGGUCUGGGAACAGCUGCCUUGUGGAGAGGCUACAUUCUCCAAGCUUCUCUUGCAGCUAGGAAUGACACACACACCCCCCCCCCCCCAGCUGUGAGCAUGGGCUGCCGGGAACUUCUCUGCAGGUUCCCAUCCUUCCUACAUCCUGCCUGGAACUCAGAUGUCUAGAGCUGUAGAGACCAUCUUGGUCCCAGGGCCAACGCUUCACACAUAGUAGCAAACCCAAAAGACAAAAGGCAUUGAGUCCCCCAUAGCGGCGGAGGUGGAGCCUCAGUCCUGAUGGCUGAGAAGGAGCCUCACCCGGUCCUUGCUGACCCUGCUCUGCACUUGUUUAUGUGAAGAAAAGAAAUCCCUGUUCAUUGAGACCUUUGUCACUCGGUUUCCUGUUACUGGCAGCUGAAUUCAUUUCUGACACAUUUGCUCAAAUGGCACGGAGCUCACUGGGCCUCUUUGUCACCUGUGCUUCUCAGGGGUGGCCUAGUGCUUCCUCGUCUGGGUUGUUCUGCUGACACCAUUCCCCAGAGAAGAGAAAAGGUCUCUCUGUUAGAUGAGGUGAAAAGGUUGAUUUAAUUCAUUUGAAUUAUAGAAGUCAUGUGUGAAGGCGUCUGGUGUCUCCAGAUGGCUCUGGAGUUCUCAGCAUGCUUCAGGUCAGGCGUGACCUGGGCCCUUGGGCUGGGUAGAAACUUCUCAGCUGGCUUCAGCUGGCUUCAGACCCUGCUUUUCCACCCGAGUCCAGAAAGGGGGCCCACGAGUGUCAGAGAGGUUCAGGCGCUUAGAGCGUGUUGUCAACUGUGCAGGGCCCAGAUGUCACCUGGAAUGACCUCUUUGCCCUGAGCUCCAGCCACCAGCACCUGCUCCCUGGAGAUGCCAGCCUGCCAGGGCUGGAAGGCACCUUCGUCAGGCACAAGGACCAGCCCACCGAGAUCGCUGUGGGGCGAGUCAGGAGGCCAGGGAGCUGGCACGGUAAGUUAUUAUUUUUAUAGCUGUCACCAGAUCCCUGGCCCAGCCCUGCAGCCCUGGCAGGGACAGAGGCAGCCUGGGAGGAGGAGGAAGCCUUAGAGGCUUGGUAGCCAGGGCAGGGGCUGUGCAGAAGGGAACGCUGGGGCGGGUCAGGGCCUGCUGGGCCUCGGCCUCUCCUGCUCCAUGGGGUGGAGGGCUGGUGACUGAUACACAGACGUGGCAUCUCUUGCCUUCAUCCCUGACCCCAGGCAUGUGCCAUCUCCCAGGCCAUUCCAAGAACUGCAUUGCACCCGGCUCAAGUCCCCUUAGGCCUACUCCAAGGCCAUGUGUGACUUCUUUUACAGCCUCAUCCUGUCUGUUCAUGUGGCCAUCUCCUGCUGUGGAUUCCUCUUCUUUAGUCUACCAUCACACCUGCAAAGGCACUUAGCUGUCCCCACCGGGGGCCUCAAAGGGUCAAGCCAAUGCCCAAGAGCCCCUCCCUACACCUAGGUUAUCAGUACUCUGAUAUCAUUUUGUUGUGGAACAGUGUGGCAUGUAGCCCAGGUUACCCCUAAAAUGCUGAUCUCCUUGCCUCUAUUUCUUGAGUGCUGGGAUUAGAGGCCUGCACUAUACCAGUUUUAUGAAAUGUUGGGGAUUGAACCCCUGACCUCGUACAUGCUAGAUGAGCCACCUCCCCUGCCACUGUACCGUGAGUUCUGAUGGCAAGAACUUGCUCACUAGUUUCUGUGAAUUGUGUUAAAGGAAUCCCAUACUGUGACCCCCCAAGUCCAACUUGACAUUUCUCUAAGUGGCAUUGUGGGGCUUACUAGUCCUUUUUAUUGCGAGUGGCCACUCACUUAAUAGCUUGGGGACACAUUGGUUUCCAUCUGGGUUCUUUAGGAGUGGCUGAGGUGGAUACUGUACAAUCAUGUGGUCCAAAGUGUGUGUGUGAGUGUGUGUGUGUGUGUGUGUGUGUGUGUGUGUGUGUGUGUNNNNNNNNNNAAACACUUAUCAUUUUGAAAAAAGAUUGAAGAUUUAUAGGAAAAUGACAAACUUGGGCAUAUUUCAUCUGAACUGAGAAUAAAUCACUGAGUUCUCAUCAAUCCUUCAUUAUUUAUUUCUCUUAAACUUUUGUGCUGGAGAGAUGGCACAGUCAUUAAGAGCACUGACUGCUCUUUCCAGAGGACCCAGGUUCAAUUCCCAGAACCGACAUGGCAGCUCACAACUGGAGUCUGUAAUGUCAGUUUCAGGGGACCAUCACACAGACAAAUAUGCCAGCAAAACACCAAUGCACAUAAAAUAAAAAUAAGUAAGUCUAUUAAAAUCUUUGUUUCUUGGUGGGCAGUGAUGGCACAGUUUUAAUCCCAGCACUUAUAGGGCAAAGGGAGGUGGAUCUCUGUGAGUUCGAGGCCAGCCUGGUCUACAGAGCGAGUUCCAGGCCAGCCAGGGCUACACAGAGAAAGCUUGUCUCAAAAAGCC
ensembl:lincRNA A530013C23Rik RIKEN cDNA A530013C23 gene